rnacentral:misc_RNA from 1 species
ACUAACACGAACUCCUUCCCCUGUACGAGUUAUGCAUCCCACGUAAUUGUAAGAAGAGGGAGCAUGAGUUAGUCCUAUUUCAUAAUUUUCAGAACUUUCAAGAACGUUCUUAACACAGGUCAAUCUUGUGAACAAACUCCUGUCACAACUAAAAAAAAUGUUGAAUCCAAACUAUUGUACAGAUACUGCAUACAGUGCAAGUAACUUGCAUCAAGUUACUCUCGAUGUAACAUUAGUUCUCUUCAUAACAAAUCCCAAACAAAUGGGAUCGCCAUAGACAUCAGUCAACAAAAGACAAGCAACUCAUGCACAAUUUGAGGCAUCCGAAAUGCCUGUCACUGGAAUAAUUGCGGCGUUCAAAACUAAAGGCAAAAGUACUGUAGGUCGGUAGUAGAGGACAAGACGAGAAUACCUUUCUUUAUGGUUGUCAAGAUAAUAUAAACCAAGUUUGUUAGGUCCUCAGCAAAGGAUAAGGGAAUUGAACGGACUGUCCACAAUGAGGGGUGAUCCAUUUAAUUCACCAAUGGUACCACGGAAAUCAUCAAGCCUGCUAUCUGCACCAACUGAUUCACUAGACUUCCUACCUUCAUCCAAACUAGCCUGAUAUGGAAGGAUACAGAGACGUACAUCUGGCUCUCUACCAAUUUUUUCUGACUGUAGUUGGUAUUUUUGGAUGAAAUCCAUUUGAAGUAAAAUAAUAUGUGAUGGCCUUGGGAGUAGCUCCACAGUUUCUCCUUUUGGGAUUACCACCUGCUCAAUGGCUAUCCUUGCCUCUUCUAGGGCAUCAGUCUUCUCUAAUGAUUUUGCAUUUUCUUCUGAUCUGGAAUCCUUCAAUCCAUUAGCACAAUCGCUAGCCAACGCCUUGAUGACCUUUGUUAUCUGCACCAAUGAGCUUGUCUUUAUCACAUAUAUGGGAAUGUCAUGAGAUUUAGCAGCAGCCUGAAUCCCUGAGUUCUUCUUGAGCUUGGACUGCAAGGCAAGCAGUGCAUCUGCCUCGCUUAUAUUAUCAGUUAAUUGAAGUGCAGUAUCCAUUUUCAACUGAUUGAUCGCUUGAAUCACACUCACCUCCAGUAUCCCAUAAACAUACAAGCGAAUUGUUGUUUCAUCUUCUAAAGAAUUCUCGCCCUCAUUUAGAGGAGAUGCAGAAAUGAACUCAUUACUUGCAAUCCUUUCAUCUUUCAUCUGGAGUUCUUCAAACAAAAUCUCAUCUUUCUUCUCAACAGAUGUGUCAAUAGAAGGUUCCAUUUGUACCAUAUCCUUCAACCCCUGAGAAUUCAUCUUGCGAACUUCAACAUUUGGUAAACGACCUGAGAGAAUGGCAUCCACUGUUGCCUCUAGGCUACAAUGAACUCGCAACUCAUUCUUUGAAAUUAUCUCCACUGCACAACUAAAUGUUGAAGGUCCUUUCCUCUCUAGCACUGUCUUCUGGACUCCUCUCCUAUUUGCUUCUUCAUCCCCCAGUGUCACACUCUGUAUUCCUCCGACAAGCAUUUCUAGAGAAGGAUUCACUAUCAAAUUUUCUAUCGUAACUCCAUGAGCAGUGGCUACUAAUUGAAUCCCACGUUGUGCAAUUGUACUUGCAGCCAUUGCUUCAAGUUUUGUCCCAAUUUCAUCUAUGAUUAUCACUUGAGGCAUGUGAUUUUCAACUGCUUCUAUUAAUACCUUAUGUUGCAUAUCUGAAUUGGGCACUUGCAUUCUGCGAGCAUUACCUAUACCUGCAUGAGGUAUAUCACCAUCCCCACCUAUCUCAUUGGAAGUGUCAACAAUCAUUACUCGUUUCUUGUAAUCAUUUGCAAGCAUUCGAGCUAUUUCCCUGAUAAUUGUGGUCUUCCCCACCCCUGGAGGCCCAAUAAGCAAAAUAGAAGCCCCAUCCUGAACCAAAUCCCUCAGCAAACUAGCACUACCUGGUAUUGCCCUACCAACACGACAAGUUAAACCAAUAAUUUGAUGCUUCCGAUUUCUGAUGGCACUGAUGCGGUGCAAUGUCCGACUGAUGCCUGCUCGAUUGUCAAUGGCAAAGUCACCAACCUGUGCAGUAGCGUGCUCAAGAUCCUGUAGUGUAAUCGGACAAUCGGAUAAAACAAAGUCCCCAGAUGGGAACCUCGCGAGUGGCCUCCGACCCAAGUCCAUAACCACCUCAACCAAGUCAUGGAGCUCCGGGUGCUCGCUUACUCUACUUCUCAUCUCUUCGGGCAACAGGGCCAGAAGUCGGCCCAAUUCGACAUCAAAAUCAUCAUCAGGAGAUGUAAAAGCAGAAGAAUUAGAAAAUGAAAAACACCCACAAAGUUUCUUGGUGACGACUUUUUGAAGAGAGGAUUUUUGAGAGAAAUGGAGUGCUUUAAACGGAAAUUUAGACAGUGGAACUUGAAGUGGGAACUGGGAUAAGAGAGGUAUCUGUGGAAUUUGAAGCAGAGAAAAGCAGAGCAUUUGAGUUUGGCGGGAAAGCAGCGUAGAAGUCGUUCUUUCUGUGACGAGACUCAGUUUCUGUACUUUCUCCCUGGCUGCUACGAGUUGAAAGAAGAGAUCCCCACCCCCCAACAUAAACAGAAAAACAAAUAGCAUCAAAGGGAAAUUUUUUAGAAAAUGGGAUUUUUU